rnacentral:lncRNA from 1 species
UAAUACAGUGAUUGUUGCCUGCUGUGUGAUCUAACAUGUUUGAGAUUUGGGUACAUUGCACUUGUUGUGUGAUCUGGAACAGAUGUAUGGUACACUGUACUUGCUAUGGGAUCUGGUACAAAUGUAAGAUACAUUAUACCUGUUGUGUGAUCAGGUACAGUUGUACGAGAAAUCUAUGUAUCCUGUGUUUACUGCGUGAUUUGGUAUAAGAUGGUUUUUGAUA